GCCACGGAUUGAGGGCCCUCCUUUCCCUCGGGAGCUGGAGGUGGCGCUCCUCUCCUGCACGGCCACCACCGCCUGUGAGCUGUUGCUACAAUGAGUAGAGGCAGUCCUUGAGUUACAGCAGUUCGUUUUGUGACCAGCUGAAGUUACAACGGCCCUGGAGAACGGGCCGGCCGGCCGUUUCCCACCUCUGCAAGGAUCUCCUGGGGUCAUGUGAUCAAAAUCCAGCCCCUGGCAACUGGCUCACAUUUAUGACAGUUGCAGUGUCGUGGGGCCACACGAUCCCCUUUUGCAACCAUGUCAAUGGGAAAGCCAGGUUCACGUAACCCCAACUUAUCAACUGCAGUGAUUCACUUAACAGGAAAGGUCAUAAAACAGGACAAACGCAACACAUCUCACAGCAACACAAAUCUGGGGGCUCGAUUGUGGUCGUAAAUCGAGGACGGCCUAAUCCUUCGCAUUUAUUGCAGCCGCCGCUUCCAGGAGGCCAAAUGGGGAGCGGACAGGCGGCUCCACGGCCAGCCCUUGAAGGA